AUUGAACGCUGGCGGCAGGCCUAACACAUGCAAGUCGAACGAACUCUUCGGAGUUAGUGGCGGACGGGUGAGUAACACGUGGGAGCGUGCCUUUAGGUUCGGAAUAACUCAGGGAAACUUGUGCUAAUACCGAAUGUGCCCUUCGGGGGAAAGAUUUAUCGCCUUUAGAGCGGCCCGCGUCUGAUUAGCUAGUUGGUGAGGUAAUGGCUCACCAAGGCGACGAUCAGUAGCUGGUCUGAGAGGAUGAUCAGCCACAUUGGGACUGAGACACGGCCCAAACUCCUACGGGAGGCAGCAGUGGGGAAUCUUGCGCAAUGGGCGAAAGCCUGACGCAGCCAUGCCGCGUGAAUGAUGAAGGUCUUAGGAUUGUAAAAUUCUUUCACCGGGGACGAUAAUGACGGUACCCGGAGAAGAAGCCCCGGCUAACUUCGUGCCAGCAGCCGCAGUAA
rnacentral:rRNA from 1 species